rnacentral:tRNA from 101 species
GAUCCGGUAGUUCAGCUGGUUAGAAUGCCGCCCUGUCACGGCGGAGGUCGCGGGUUCGAGUCCCGUCCGGAUCGCAA